rnacentral:rRNA from 1 species
GACGAACGCUGGCGGCGCGCCUAACACAUGCAAGUCGAACGAGCGAGAGAGAGCUUGCUUUCUCGAGCGAGUGGCGAACGGGUGAGUAACGCGUGAGGAACCUGCCUCAAAGAGGGGGACAACAGUUGGAAACGACUGCUAAUACCGCAUAAGCCCACGGCUCGGCAUCGAGCAGGGGGAAAAGGAGCAAUCCGCUUUGAGAUGGCCUCGCGUCCGAUUAGCUAGUUGGUGGGGUAACGGCCCACCAAGGCGACGAUCGGUAGCCGGGCUGAGAGGUUGAACGGCCACAUUGGGACUGAGACACGGCCCAGACUCCUACGGGAGGCAGCAGUGGGGAAUAUUGCACAAUGGGGGAAACCCUGAUGCAGCGACGCCGCGUGGAGGAAGAAGGUCUUCGGAUUGUAAACUCCUGUUGUUGGGGAAGAUAAUGACGGUACCCAACAAGGAAGUGACGGCUAACUACGUG